GUGCCAAUUUUUGAACAAUGCCGGGUUGCUGUGCUGUCGGCUGCAGCAACAAAACAGAAGACGGCUUCUCUCUCUACAACAUACCUCGUGGUAUCCGGAAUAGUGCACGCCGUGAAGUGUGGCUACAAAACAUUUCACGCGAGGACUUCCGUGCAACGCCGUCGACGCGGCUUUGCGAGGAAAUGGCAUCAGCAUUGACAGCAGCUCAAUAGCACAUGACCACUGCUACUUUCAUGUAUCUCAUGAGAGUGAUACUCAAGAAAUGUCUCCAGAAAAUGUGCCUCACAUUUCAAGUGAAGCAGAAGUGGUUAGCCAAGGUACUCUGGACAUUGUGCAAAGAAGUUCUGCGUGCAAUAUAUCGGGUAAGAAGGCGCAUGUUGAUUGCGUGAACUUUGCUUUUGUUUUAACAAUGAACUAUAACAAGGGUCAUUCCUCACCAACUGUACAAAACAUGGCGCUCGCCAAAAAUCAAUUUUUAUCGAAAAA